CUUACAAAACUAUACUCCCGCAAUCUUACUCAAUGACAGUUUAAAUGAGAAAUAUAAAAGAGCUGCGUACAACUUGAUCUGACUUGUUUUUCCAUGCAGCUCCCACAACACCUGAAAUAGCAAAGGAUGGAGGACCUGGGUUUACCUUCACAGUUCCAGUGUCUUUGGCUGUUAUUGUGGGCCUAUUGGUGACCUGUGUUUCUUUGGGUAUCUGGAGAAUAAAAAGGACGGGCCAGCGACUGGGUAAGAUACACUUCCAAAUGGUUAACUUUGCAAAGCGAUCUGCAUACAGCACUAAUAACACAGUAUUCACUACCAAAUGUAAUUUCAUAUUGCCAUAUGUUUCUUUUAAAUGGAGAAAAUCAAGUCAUCAGAGAGACACCCAUUGAUAGUGAGGAGCCCAGGAACAUGGAUGAACAUGGAGAAGAGGUUGACUCUAACUCCUCCAGAGGUUCAACCCAGUGGUGUCAAGUUCCUGUGUAUGAAGCUUACUUUGACCAUCGGAGGGAUGGGGAGGAUGGCUGAAAAGGAUUCACAAUCAGAGAAGAAAUAUUCCAUUCUUUAUUUAGUUUUAGCCAUUUUUAUUUGAUUUAAUUAAGAUAUUUGUUUUACCUGUUCUUAAAUAAUCUGGACAAUAUGAAAUGCUUAUGCUUCUAUAUAGACGAUGCUUGGUUUAGAUGUGUUCUCCACAAAUAUGUUGUGCUUUCUGCCUAGUACUUAUUAGUGACGAUAGUACACAUUCUGUGAGCAAACUGGGAUGUUUACUUUGGCAUGCGACCAACAAAUAUGUGCUGUUUGGCCCUCUCAUUAUUAAAGGGAAUGUGUGCCUAAAAGUAAAUGUAAUGCAAGUUUUCCGUCUUUUGCACGUUACAUGACAGCUAUGUUACAGCUGUCUUGUUAUUCUUUUGUAAAGUACUUCAGCUAUACCAAAAAACACCAAUAAAAAAAUUUCUUUUGUCUUGCCA
rnacentral:lncRNA from 1 species